rnacentral:rRNA from 1 species
AGCGAACGCUGGCGGCAGGCCUAACACAUGCAAGUCGAACGCGAAAGUCCUUCGGGCGAGUAGAGUGGCGGACGGGUGAGUAACGCGUGGGAAUCUACCCUAGAGCGGGGGACAACCCGGGGAAACCCGGGCUAAUACCGCAUACGUCCUACGGGAGAAAGAGGGCCUCUGCUUGCACGCUCUCACUCCAGGAUGAGCCCACGUCCGAUUAGCUAGUUGGUAGGGUAAAGGCCUACCAAGGCCACGAUCGGUAGCUGGUCUGAGAGGAUGAUCAGCCACACUGGGACUGAGACACGGCCCAGACUCCUACGGGAGGCAGCAGUGGGGAAUAUUGGACAAUGGGCGCAAGCCUGAUCCAGCAAUGCCGCGUGUGUGAAGAAGGCCUGCGGGUUGUAAAGCACUUUCAGUGGGGAAGAACAGAUUCGGGUCAAUACCCCGGAGCCCUGACGUUACCCACAGAAGAAGCACCGGCUAACUCCGUGCCAGCAGCCGCGGUAAAGUAGUCGUGUC